AAAUUUCUUGGAACAGAAUGUCAUGGAGGGUGAGAAUCCCGUCUGGAGCUCGGACACGGCCUAUGUGAAACUCCUUCGACGAGUCGAGUUGUUUGGGAAUGCAGCUCUAAAUGGGUGGUAAAUUUCAUCUAAAGCUAAAUAUUGGCCAGAGACCGAUAGCGCACAAGUAGAGUGAUCGAAAGAUGAAAAGCACUUUGAAAAGAGAGUUAAACAGUACGUGAAAUUGUUGAAAGGGAAGCGCUGGCAACCAGACUUGCAUGCCGGGGUUCCCCCUUGCUUCUGCUUGGGCUACUCCCCGGUGUUCAGGCCAACAUCGGUUUCGGGGGUUGGUUAAAGGCCCUGGGAAUGUACCUACCCUCCGGGGUAGACUUAUAGCCCAGGGUGUCAUGCGACCUCCCGGGACCGAGGAACGCGCUUCGGCUCGGAUGUUGGCGUAAUGGUUGUCAGCGACCC
rnacentral:rRNA from 4 species